CAGUAGCCGCGGUAAUACGUAGGGUGCAAGCGUUAAUCGGAAUUACUGGGCGUAAAGCGUGCGCAGGCGGUUAUAUAAGUCAGAUGUGAAAUCCCCGGGCUCAACCUGGGAACUGCAUUUGAGACUGUAUGGCUAGAGUGUGUCAGAGGGGGGUAGAAUUCCACGUGUAGCAGUGAAAUGCGUAGAUAUGUGGAGGAAUACCGAUGGCGAAGGCAGCCCACUGGGAUAACACUGACGCUCAUGCACGAAAGCGUGGGGAGCAAACAGGAUUAGAUACCCCUGUAGUCCCUGUCUCUUAUAC
rnacentral:rRNA from 1 species